AUGAGGUUGAUGGUGGCUUCUGCAGCUUGGAAAUGCGGAAGUGUUUGUAUUUGCAAACCGGUACGAGAUGGUGUCAUAUAUCCAAAUCAGAAGACUUCCGGAAAAGAGGUGAAUGAGAGCAAUGCCAUGGUGGAUAGCCAAUUUAUGAGCAUCGAGAUCAAAGCUUCCAGUCCUAGUUUCUGCGAGGAACUGCCUCAGGAUGUGGUAUCACUGUGGUGA